rnacentral:rRNA from 1 species
UACGUAGGGGGCAAGCGUUGUCCGGAAUCAUUGGGCGUAAAGCGCGUGUAGGCGGCCCGAUAAGUCCGCUGUGAAAGUCCAGGGCUCAACCCUGGGAUGCCGGUGGAUACUGUCGGGCUCGAGUCCGGAAGAGGCGAGUGGAAUUCCUGGUGUAGCGGUGAAAUGCGCAGAUAUCAGGAGGAACACCAAUGGCGAAGGCGGGUAGCUGGGCCAACACUGACGCUGAGACGCGAAAGCGUGGGGAGCGAACAGG